rnacentral:rRNA from 1 species
CAGUCGACGCUGAAGCUGGGUGCUUGCACCUGGUGGAUGAGUGGCGAACGGGUGAGUAAUACGUGAGUGACCUUCCUUGGACUCUGGGAUAAGCCCGGGAAACUGGGUCUAAUACCGGAUACGACCAGUCCUCGCAUGGGGUGCUGGUGGAAAGGGUUUGUACUGGUUCUUGAUGGGCUCACGUCCUAUCAGCUUGUUGGUGAGGUAAUGGCUUACCAAGGCGACGACGGGUAGCCGGCCUGAGAGGGUGACCGGCCACACUGGGACUGAGACACGGCCCAGACUCCUACGGGAGGCAGCAGUGGGGAAUAUUGCACAAUGGGCGCAAGCCUGAUGCAGCGACGCCGCGUGGGGGAUGACGGCCUUCGGGUUGUAAACCUCUUUCAGCAGGGAAGAAGCGAAAGUGACGGUACCUGCAGAAGAAGCGCCGGCUAACUACGUGCCAGCAGCCGCGGUAAUACGUAGGGCGCAAGCGUUGUCCGGAAUUAUUGGGCGUAAAGAGCUCGUAGGCGGUUUGUCGCGUCUGCUGUGAAAGCCCGGGGCUCAACCCCGGGUGUGCAGUGGGUACGGGCAGGCUGGAGUGCAGUAGGGGAGACUGGAAUUCCUGGUGUAGCGGUGAAAUGCGCAGAUAUCAGGAGGAACACCGAUGGCGAAGGCAGGUCUCUGGGCUGUUACUGACGCUGAGGAGCGAAAGCAUGGGGAGCGAACAGGAUUAGAUACCCUGGUAGUCC